rnacentral:rRNA from 1 species
GACGAACGCUGGCGGCGUGCUUAACACAUGCAAGUCGAACGGAAAGGCCCUGCUUUUGUGGGGUGCUCGAGUGGCGAACGGGUGAGUAACACGUGAGUAACCUGCCCUUGACUUUGGGAUAACUUCAGGAAACUGGGGCUAAUACCGGAUAGGAGCUCCUGCUGCAUGGUGGGGGUUGGAAAGUUUCGGCGGUUGGGGAUGGACUCGCGGCUUAUCAGCUUGUUGGUGGGGUAGUGGCUUACCAAGGCUUUGACGGGUAGCCGGCCUGAGAGGGUGACCGGCAACAUGGGGAAGGAGGGCGGCCCAAGCCCCUGCGGGGGGGAACGGGGGGGAAUUUUUGAAAAUGGGGGGGAGGCCUGAGGCGGCACCCCCGGGGGGGGAAGGGCGGCCUGGGGUUGGAAAACCGUUUGCGCCGGAGAAGAAGGGGGGGGGAGGGUAAGGGAAAAAGAAGCCCGGGAAAAUUAGGGG